rnacentral:tRNA from 1 species
CGGGGUGUGACGCAGUUGACAGCGUGCAUCGUUCGGGACAAUUAGGUCACUGGCUAAAGUCCAGUCACUCCGACCA